rnacentral:rRNA from 1 species
UACAGAGGGUGCGAGCGUUAAUCGGAAUUACUGGGCGUAAAGCGUGCGUAGACGGCUAUCUAAGUCGGGUGUGAAAGCCCCGGGCUCAACCUGGGAAUUGCAUUCGAGACUGAAUAGCUAGGGUGCGGUAGAGGGAAGCGGAAUUUCCGGUGUAGCGGUGAAAUGCGUAGAUAUCUGGAGGAACACCGGUGGCGAAGGCGGCAUCCUGGACCGGUAUUGACGCUGAGGCGCGAAAGCUAGGGGAGCAAACGGG